AUUGAACGCUGGCGGCAGGCCUAACACAUGCAAGUCGAGCGAGCGGCGGACGGGUGAGUAAUGUAUGGGGACUUCCCGAUAGAGUUGGAUAACUACUGGAAACGGUAGCUAAUACCGCAUACUAUCGGAUAACCCAUAUGUGAUUAGAUAGUAGGUGAGGUAAUGGCUCACCUAGGCUACGAUCCCUAGCUGGUCUGAGAGGAUGAUCAGCCACACUGGGACUGAGACACGGCCCAGACUCCUACGGAGGCAGCAGUGGGGAAUAUGGCACAAGGGGCGCAAGCCUGAUGCAGCCAUGCCGCGUGUAUGAAGAAGGCCCUAGGGUUGUAAAGUACUUGCAGUCGGGAGGCGUUACCUACAGAAGAAGCACCGGCUAACUCCGUGCCAGCAGCCGCGGUAAUUC
rnacentral:rRNA from 1 species